rnacentral:lncRNA from 1 species
GUGACAGUGGGUUUCUCCAGUUCAACCGUUUCUCUGGAGCUGCUGAGCAUUCCAGAAUUCCUUCCUCUGAGAGCGGGACAGGAUCCUCUCUAGAAUGUUGAUCUUAUGACCUACAGUCAAACAAGGAUUAGCAAAUGUGGCAUUGCUUUCCCAUUAGGAUUAGCUGUCAACCAUCAGCUGUAAUAGUAGAAAAAUCACAGCUGUUCUCCAAGCAAGCCCAGAAGAUGAUGCUAGGAAGUUACUAUCAGUUUCUAUCCAGCUGUUUGAGAAUCAUAACAAACCUUAAACAGUUAAUGGAAAAGAAACUUUACAGAAGUCUUGGCCAC